rnacentral:lncRNA from 1 species
UCAGCCGUGUGUUCAUUCCAUAGUUUAUCAUGCAGUGUGAACAUAAUUCAAAGAAACAAUGGAGGUGGCGACUUGUAACAACAGAGGGAUGGUGGGCAGCAGUAAGCCAGAGAACACGUCUUCUGACCGGGAUACUAAGUCGGCCCUGCCCGGGCGCCCGCUGUCAGACCGCUCCGAGAUGCUGCACAGCCAGACUGACUCCUUCCUCAUGGCAGCCCGACUCGUCCGCAGGGGAUGGCCCAAUGAAGGGAACAAAACAAACAGGCAGUUAUCACAAUCUGAUGGUUCAGCACGUCAACCCAUUUUCACCAGUUCAG